CAGACUGGGAUGCUGGGACAGUUCCUCCAUUAGCCUGGCACUCUGAAGUUGUGAUGCCCUCCAAGCAUUCAGCAGGCGUGUCUGCAGGGACGACCUCACCAACUCCUACCUUGGAUACUGCACAAAAGCCCAGCUCCCAUCACAGGGGUGAGUAGUGUGUCCCUGCUGACCCCAAAGGCUGAGCCCUGCUUUUGUGGGGUCCAUUGCUGGGAAAUGGAAGUACUUUCUCUUAAGGUCCUCUGACAGGAGAGACCAAAGACAUGGCAGGCAGGAAAUUCCAGGACCCAUUAGAAAUCAUGUGGCAAAUGCUGAAGGAAUGUCUGCAGAGGAGGCAAGAAAUGAAAGGAGAGCCUGUGCAGAAGGAAGCAUUUCGUGGAGGAAGCAGUGGUUCCGUGGCAGCCUCUGCUCCAGGAAGGGAGGCCAUGCCAGGCACAGACACAGGAG